GUCUCUGUAGCGCAAAUGAUAGCGCGUUGGACUUGUACUUCAAAAGUCGUGAAUUCGAAUUUCACCUGUGAUG